rnacentral:rRNA from 1 species
AUUGAACGCUGGCGGCAGGCCUAACACAUGCAAGUCGAGCGGAGCGGCGGACGCGUGAGUAUUGCCUAUGAAUCUGACUGGUAGUGGGGGAUAACGUCCGGAAACGGGCGCUAUUACCGCUUACUAUCCGAUUCGCCUAGUUCGGCUUAGCUAGUUGGUGGGGUAAAGGCCUACCAAGCCGACGAUCCGUAACUGGUCUGAGAGGAUGAUCAGUCACACUGGAACUGAGACACGGUCCAGACUCUUACGGGAGGCAGCAGGGGGGAAUAUGGGACAAUGGGCGAAAGCCUGAUCCAGCCAUGCCGCGUGUGUGAAGAAGGUCUUCGGAUUGUAAAGUACUGUAAGUUGGGAGGCGUUACCAACAGAAUAAGCCCCGGCUAACUUCGUGCCAGCAGCCGCGGUAAUAC